rnacentral:lncRNA from 1 species
CAAUAAUUAUAUGAGAGUUGAUGACAAUCGCGUUGAACCUCUCUACAAGCAUAUUUUUCCACCUGCGCUAGCUCCCGGACUUUCUUUCAUUGGUUUACCUGCAAUGGUUAGUUAGUUUCAAUCGAUUAAAAUUUUCCGAAGUUUUGAGUGAUUCAACUCUUCUUGAUUUUUAGAAAACUCAUCAAUUUCUUGGUUUGAUAUUGUUAUAACCAGGGUCUACAAUUCUAUAUGUUUGAAGUCCAAAGCAAAUGGGUUGCUGCAGUCUUGUCUGGACGAGUUACACUUCCUUCGGUAGAUGAAAUGAUGGACGAUCUUAAGUUGUCGUAUGAAACACAAGAAGCGUUAGGUAUUCCCAAAAGAUAUACACAUAAGUUGGGUAAAUCUCAGGUACGACAUUUUUUAGUUACGAAUAUGCUAUGGUAAUAUAUAUCAACUUGAAAAAGAAUAUAGUUUCAAUAAUAAAUUUUGUGUCUUUUAGUGUGAGUACCUCGAUUGGAUCGCAGACCUGUGUGGAUUCCCACAUGUUGAACAUUGGAGAGAUCAAGAAGUAACUCGCGGUUACCAGAGACUUGGUAAUCAACCAGAAAC